AGCUGGCUGACCAGCAGGCCAGCUGGCUGGCUGAUUAGCUAGCUGAUUAUCUGACUGGCUAGCUAUCUUCCCUAGCCAGUCAGAAUUGUUUAAGAGGUGAAGUCUUGGAGGAGGAGGUGGUGCCGAGAUAGUUCCUCCUUUCUCCUCCUGACAGACCACCUACUCCUCUCCUCUCCUCUCCUGUCAGACCUCCUCCUCCUCUCCUCUCCUGACAGACCUCCUACUCCUCUCCUCUCCUCUCCUGACAGACCUCCUACUCCUCUCCUCUCCUCUCCUGACAGACCUCCUACUCCUCUCCUCUCCUGUCAGACCUCCUCCUCCUCUCCUCUCCUCUCCUCUCCUGUCAGACCUCCUCCUCCUCUCCUCUCCUGUCAGACCUCCUCCUCCCCUCCACUCCUCUCCUGACAGAUCUCCUACUCCUCUCCUCUCCUGUCAGACCUCCUCCUCCUCUCCUGUCAGACCUCCUCCUCUCCUCUUCUCUCCUGUCAGACCUCCUCCUCCUCCUUCUCCUCUCCUGUCAGACCUCCUCUUCCUCCUCCUCUCCUCUCCUGUCAGACCUCCUCCUCCACCACUCCACUCCUUUCCUGUCAAACCUCCUCUUAAUCUUCCUCCCUAUCAGACCUCCUAUUCUCUCCUCCUUCAGUCAAACCAUCUCCUCUCUCCUCCUAUCAGACCUCCUCCGCCUCUCUCCUCCUGUCAGACCUCCUCCUCCUCCUCUAUCCACCUGUCAGACCUCCUCCUCCUCCUACUCUCUCCUCCUGUCAGACCUCCUCCUCUUCUCUCCACCUGUCAGACCUCCUCCUCCUCUCUCCACCUGUCGGACCUCCUCCUCCUCUCUUCUCCUGUCAGACCUCCUCCUCCUCUCACCUCCUGUCAGACCACCUCCUCCUCCUCUCUCCUCUCGUGUCAGACCUUCUCUCUUACUCCUCUCCCGCACCAGUGAAUUGUUCACUCGUUCAUCCAGCCAUUCAUUUUUCAUUGUCCAUGGGAUCCUUUGCUGCCAUUUUCUUAAUCAUAGUCUCUAUAAUUGCCCGUCUAAUGGACUAACUUUUAAUAAAUCAUACCGUUGGAAGAAUCCACCAAGUGGUGAGCUGUUUAUUAUGAUGAAGUUAACGUCAGCCGCAACAGAGAGCAACAGUACCACCCGCUGGUCGCUCUGGGAACAGCAGAAUAACAGCCGCAUAGGAGAGAGCUGCUUUGUUAAGCGGAGAUUCAGAACUGCUUCAUCCCGAAAAGAGUUGAUCCCGCACAACCUUGCUCCUUUUAUCAUUAGUUACGAUUCAGGACGACCCCAUAGGCCUAUUUAGCCUAAUUUGCUUUAGUAUCCCACCUACUAUUAACCGCUUUUAAUUGAAAAUAUUUUGGGAACUGUUGCUUUUAUUACUUAAAGAAUAUUGCAAUUGGAUUGGGAGCAUCUUACCGGC
rnacentral:lncRNA from 1 species